GAUGAACGCUGGCGGCGUGCCUAAUACAUGCAAGUCGAGCGAACGGACGAGAAGCUUGCUUCUCUGAUGUUAGCGGCGGACGGGUGAGUAACACGUGGAUAACCUACCUAUAAGACUGGGAUAACUUCGGGAAACCGGAGCUAAUACCGGAUAAUAUUUUGAACCGCAUGGUUCAAAAGUGAAAGACGGUUUUGCUGUCACUUAUAGAUGGAUCCGCGCUGCAUUAGCUAGUUGGUAAGGUAACGGCUUACCAAGGCAACGAUGCAUAGCCGACCUGAGAGGGUGAUCGGCCACACUGGAACUGAGACACGGUCCAGACUCCUACGGGAGGCAGCAGUAGGGAAUCUUCCGCAAUGGGCGAAAGCCUGACGGAGCAACGCCGCGUGAGUGAUGAAGGUCUUCGGAUCGUAAAACUCUGUUAUUAGGGAGGAACAUAUGUGUAAGUAACUGUGCACAUCUUGACGGUACCUAAUCAGAAAGCCACGGCUAACUACGUG
rnacentral:rRNA from 1 species